rnacentral:lncRNA from 1 species
CUUCUUCCUCUUGUUCCCUAGCUUCUUGCCCAACUGUGACAUGCAUUUACAAUACAUUUAGUUUUGUAUCAAGGGCUAUAAUCUACGUGUCAAUUAUAAUAUAGGGAACUUUAAUUGAUUCAACUCCCCCGUUCCCUAAAUCUUUUCUUUUCUUUCUUUUUUUCUUUUUCUAUUAAUUAACUCAUCAUUUAUGUAUACUAGAGAUUCCCUUGCAUGAGUACAAGGUGUUGGGAAUUGUGUCCCAAAGCCAAUUUUUAUUGUAAGAAUAAUGUAUAUGUUUUAUUUAAUGAAUAAUAAAAUCUAUUCUGGCAUUCUUUUCAUCACAAAUGUUGCAUCUUCAAAUAGGAACUCCUGUGUAUUGUGAUGAAGUCCUUAGAACUAAUUUAGUGGAUAAAGGAGGUUUUAUCAUUUAGUCCUUAAAUUGGUUCGCGACCGAUUGACAAGCUAUUAAUUGGACAAUAGCUAUGUCAAGUAUAGGUCGUUGUAUGCCAUUUAGUUGGUUGUCCUCUUAACCAAGGAGUGUGGAGACAAUGGUAUGGCAUAUAGGUGAGAUGUAGAGUACAUCGUCACUGAAUAGUGACUCACCUGUUGAGCACUCCACUGUCAGGAGUUAGCUCACAAAGCAUAUGGGCAUAAGUAUCCCUUAGACCUGAGACUAUCACGGU